GAGUUUUGCAUUACACUCUUGGGCUGAACUUCACUGCACUCGGUACUGGGAUUCGAUGCCAAAAAAUGCAGGGAGAAAGGGCACCCAAGAAAAACAAGCGAGUUAAAGAAAAAUAAUUCAUUCCAAGAUUACAAAAACAAACAAGAAAGAACAAGUAGCAAAUUGCUCCCCACCACAUGUAAGGGUGUUUUUAAGAGGAUAAUCCUGGUGGCUUUGUAGGGAACAAUGUAAUAAACAGCAUCUGAGAUGAAUUAACUGCUCAAGGGAAACCCAGACAUUCACUGCAACUCAGGGCCAUUUCCUGCGUGCAGCCUGUACCGCACGGCACGGAAAUAAAUGACUGCUGAUCUGUAACCAACCAGAACACGCCAGGCGGAAAAAAGGGCAGUGUCGCUUGUUUUCUUGGAUUCCCCCUGGGGCUGUGAGUAAGGACCGAAUGGCCGAUCAAGGGCUCGUCUCAAGCCUUGGAGUGAAAGAGUGAUGGACACACAUCAGGAGCUCCGGGAACCACUGACGCACGGGCCCGUUUUCAGCUCCCCUGUAAGCCAAUGGGGUGGAAGGAUACACUCCAAGUUAAGCAAGUGCUUACCUGCUUUCCUGAAUCAAGGCCUCUAUUAGUGCUGGGGCUAAAAGAAGGAACCCGGCUAUGCAAUCAAGAGAGGACGCUGUGGCUUCAUGCAGCUAAGCAAGCUACUCAAGCAGAGAGUAAUUUCCAGGCAGUGGGAUGGACGCGAGAAGCUGCCGACUCUGGGACACAGAAAUGAGAGAAGCAGCCAGGGAGGGGUUGAAAAGUUCCUGUGAGGAAGCCUCCCAAUGUGCUUGAAGCAAGAGAUGAUCACGUCCAAGCAGGACCUUUGCAUCACUACUUCUAAGAGCCUGGCAGUGCGAUAGCUCCCCAAAUACUGGCCCAAGGGGUCCUGGCCCUCCGCUUGGCUCGGCUACUCCUGGGAGCAAAUCCCUCAGGCACGCCGCAGACUUGGCUUAACUCACAAACCUCGUGUGAACCUGCCACCAUGUAAAGAGUUUGGGGAAUUAAAAGCAAAGCUUUAGAUUCUGAAACAGCAGCAGGGUUUAGUCCUCAGUAGCAGUCACAAUAAACAGCAUGGAACCA